rnacentral:lncRNA from 1 species
CAAAAACUGCGCCAGAACGCCAUGUGGUCUCUCAAGAGGCGGGAAGGGCCAGGGAGCACCACGACACGCCAUCUACAACUCAGUGGUGGUGGUGGGUGGCGUUGAUCUCGUAACCCUGACAAUGGCUCCAUGGAGGGUUAGGGAUUUUUCAGAGCGUGCUGUUCCACUGGAUGAGAUGUGUGUCUCCCUCCCGUGAGCCUGCGAUGAUGGGAUCGUGGCCAUCGUUGUCCAUGCCUAAUUGGCACAUGAAACUAAAUGAAGAAACACUCAGCAUAUUUCUUCAUGCAUAAUCAAAAUACUAUUGCAAUUAAAAUAUAUAAUGCAGUAACGAGUGUUUCAAUGUUCUUCUGUUUAUAGUCAGCGGGCAACAAGGUACAAGUAUGUUCUUCUUUCAUCAGUUGUUAUGUUUGUCUACCUCAGGCUUGUAGAAAUUGUAGAAAAUACGGUUUUGUUAGCCUGCACUACUACACUGAUCUUUUGAAAUGAUAAAUUUUAGCAAUGAUGUCAAGAGUACUAAAUUGUAGAGAAAAAAAAAGAUGAACACCACCAACUUUAGCUUCACCGGAAUUUCCUCAGUAAGUAGGAAAAAACAACGAAUCUCAGCCACUUUUCACAAACCAUGAAAAUAUGUAGUAACUUUAAUUUUUCAACCAAAAUAACACAACGGUGCAUUGAAAUGGAAAAAGAAGCACAUAAAAGACAUUUACCUCCCUCGUGUAGUAGAGAAACACCAUAAAUGAAUAGUCUCAACAAGCUUUGUGGAUGUUUCAGUCUUCGGAUGUAAUAUUCAGUUCUGACGUAAUAUUUACUUCAGGGAUGAAAUCCCCGUGCAAUAAGGUAUGUUGUGUACGCCGGCAACAAUGUUGUGUACGCCGGCAAUGUCACCGGAGAAAUAUCCAAUCUUGAGUAUCAAAAUAUUUUAUUUGUGAAAGAGGAAAAAGGUACUGUCUACCUCCCAGCUGGCUGCCCAAUUGGCUGAGCAUGUGUGUUGCAAAAAGUGAAUUCGUAUUGGCAUUCCUUGGAGAACCCAAUCUGCUUGAUACUCAUCAGGCCUGAAA